GGUGUUCACCUUUUCUGGAGAGUGUAUUUCUAUCAAGUGAUGGUGUCAUGGCCUCUCAUGAAUGGAAAACAGUUCCGGAUAUUUGGAGGUCUUCAGCAGAAAAAUUUGGUGAUCGGGUAGCAGUGGUGGAUCCAUAUCAAGACCCUCCUUUGACUGUGACUUAUAAACAGGUCAUUUUGACAAUUUGACUUAAUGUUUCUUUGUAUCUGUAUCUAAGGUCUAUCAGAAAGUCUUUAUCCUCAGCCUAUUACCACUCACUAAAUAAUCUAAUUCUUAAUUGAAUUCAUCUGUAUACUGAUGGAAGACCUCUUAGAUUAAUUUCUGUUUCUCCUUAAGAUUCUUGUGAUUGUUUGCAUGAUUUCAUGAUCAUUCCAUUGACAAAGCAGGAUUAGUCAACUCAAUUGCAAUUCUUUGAGUUUUGGGCUCCGCGAAUGCACAAGACACUCAACUUGGUGAACAUCAGCCCCCUUCUUCGUUCUUUUCAGCAGUAUAAGCGUGCAUUAACAAAAAUUUAUGGAUAUAGAAUGAGGCUCGAUGACGAUAAAAGAAAGCUCCCGCAAAGCCCGAGAGGCUACUUGAUUAAGACAAGGAAAACAAACUUUAGAAGAUGGAAUCCAACACAGCCUACUAUUUCUUAGAAAACUUUCGGGUGGAUUACUUGGGCUUCAUAAUUAGAGAUGGAAAAGUGUUUAGGGUGUUAAAAUAACCGUAAUACAUAUAAUACUUGUUUAUAUAUACACUGGGGAUACAAGAUACAAAAUUAAUCAAAUGCCUUUUACUCACUACUACUUAUUUCAUAUACUCCUAACAGGCUUAAUAGAGAGGGUAGCUUUUUCCUCUAGCAAGCUUAAAAUGUUCAACUUUUUGUAAGGGCUUCUUUAGGUUGUUACUUCUUAAAGCCGGGGCCUUCCGUUGGCCAUCAAAUCACCGCUCAGGAGGGCCUUGGACGCCCUCUAGGAUGUCAAGAUCAACGCAUAGGUAGCUCUGGACCAUCUUCGGAUGUUGUAUUAGUGAUGCUGUGGCCCUGGAGGAGUGCUACUUUAGGCAUUUUAAGCCUAGAGUGGCAAAAUCGUAAUUUUGUGACGGAGGAGUUUUAAGUCGGGCCCACCUAUGUUCGAUGCGAAACAGCCCCGCGGUCAAGACACAUUGCCUUCGGCCAUGUGCCGCGUGUUUUUUAGCCGUUUAAUGAUGUUUAGCCGAAAUUGCCAAAUUUGCCGUUUAGGGAAAGAUUUGACUUGCCUAUUUAUUGGGCUUGGAAAAUCCAAAUUAAGCGGUUCUUUUGGAGAAUUUCUUAGAAUUUUCUAUAUUUUCUGAUUAUGUAAUAAUUGCUGAACUUUCCGUUUUUGGCAAAAUUUCCAUUAAUUAGUUCUUUGGUUGAUUCGCCUUCCUUGUUGAUCGAAUCAAUUAGGGUUUUUGGUUCCUGCCUAUUUAUAAUAAGUUGUACGCUUCCGAAUGGGGGGUGAUUAUUGAUUAUUGAAUAAAAUCAGAGUCAGAGAACAUUUUUCUCUAACUUAUAUCUUUUGUGUUAAUCUUUGUUGCACGUUCUUUUCUGUGGUUCAUUGUAGAGACCCGUUCCUAAUUUGAAUUUAUUUAAUUUAAUAAUGUAGAUAUGUGUAACUAUUUUAAUAAUUUUGUGAACCAUGGAUUUUUUUAUGUAUAUAUGUGUGAAUGUGCAGUAUGCGUGAUUGAUCGGAUUCAAUUUUGUGUGCCAAGGACGAGUUGUUGGGAUCCACAUGUUAUGGACUUUUCUGGAAAAAAAAAAGAACUUGAGAGUUACUAAUUAUUAUAGAUUUGUUAGCUUUAGGGGCUUUAGUGUAUUGAUUUAAAACAUUUUAGAGAUGCAGCAAUUGAUUGAUUCUCGGAGGGGCUAUAGUGCAAUUAUGCACUUAAAAAGGGGGAAAGAACAGGGAACACCCGUUCCUUUUUUUUUUUCCCCUUUUCUGCGUUCUUCUUCCCCACUCUUUUAUCCGUGUCUCUCUCCUACUCAACUCUACCCAAACCCUAGACUUCAACCCCAAAAUUGGAUGUCAAGAUUCGAGAAUAUCGCAAAAAGGGAAGAAGAGAAUGUGAUCUACGGAUAGAGGACUACGCAUCUAUCCCAACAAUGUCGCAUUCGGCCAACUUUGGUGUUCCUAGCAUUUCGGGAUUCGGCUCUUUUGAGCCGGAAGUAUAUGGAUAAUGAGUUUAUCCGUCGGUGUAUAGUCCGUAAACCCGCGCGGGAUAAGGUGUUCCAUAGGCCUUUGGGUUAGUAGCCCAUAAAUUUGGAUGAUUAGGGAUCUGAUCAGUCGCCUAGGAUUGGUACACAACUUGUUAAUUUGGACUAUCGGUCAUAUGUGCUCUUAUUUUCUCCUAUUGACUUAUAAUUUGAUGUGUUUUAUGUUUGAAGGAUUUUGGAUAUAUGAGAUGAGAUGAGCUUACGUGAUUUGGUUAUAACUUGGUAUUUGGAGAUUUGGAUUAUUAUCUGAACGGAUUAUUUUUAUCAUUAUUUCUGUUGGAUACUUGAGAAGUAAAA